AGAGCUGCCUUGGUGAAAUAGGAGCUUAAAAAAAGGUUUUAAAGGAAAAGAUAUAUUUCUUGCACACCUAAGUUGUGAAAUGAAGUUUGUAUUGUCUCAGAAAUUCCUCUGAACAGUAACCACCAAUAGUAUUUCCUUGUUUGGCUGUCUAACUAGAUCAUAAAUGCCUUGAUUAGAGCAUAGAAUCUAGCUAAUAAUGACUGAGCAAUAAAUUUAUGGGAGGAGUUCCUGUUGUGGUGCAGUGGAAACGAAUCCGACUAGUAUCCAUGAGGAUGUGGGUUUGAUCCCUGGCCUCACUCAGUGGGUCUGAGAUCCGGCGUUGCCCUGAGCUGUGGUGUGGGUCACAGAUGCAGCUCAGAUCCUGAGUUGUUGUGGCCAGCAGCUGUAGCUCUGAUUUGACUCCUAGACUGGGAACUUCCAUAUGCUACAGGUGCAUCCCUAAAAAGAAAAAAAAAAUUAUGGGAAAAGAAUAAAUAAAUCAAUACAUAUUUUCACAAUUAAAAAUGAGUCAUUAAUAAGAACUCUGAUAAAUGUCCACCAAUAGGAGAAUGGUAGCUGUGGUACAUAUAUACAAUGGAAUAUUACUCAGCCAUAAAAAAGAAUGACAUCAUGCAGCAACAUGGAUGGACGUAAAGGUUAUCAUACUUAGUGAAGUAAGCCAGACAGAGAAAGACACAUAUCAUAUGAUAUCACUUAUGUGUGGAAUCUAAAAAAAUUAAUACAGAUGAACUUAUGUACAAAACAGAAACAGAAUCACAGACUAUGAAAACAAACAUAUGGUUAACAAAGGGGAAAGGUAGUGGGGAGAGAUAGAUUGGAAGUUUGGGAUUGGCACAUGCACACUAUUGUGUCUGGAAUGGUCGGUCAAUGGGAACCUGCUAUAGAGCACGGGAACUCUACUUAAUAUUCUGUGAUAACCUAUAUGGGAAAAGAAUCUGAAAAAGAAUGGAUAUGUGUAUAUGUGUAUAACUGAAUCACUUUGUUACACAGCAGAAAUUAUCACAACAUUGUAAAAUAACUAUGCUUCAAUAAAAAUUUUAAAUGAAAGAAUUUAAAAAUUAAAAAAUAAAUAAAAAGAACUGAUAAUUUCAGUCAUCUGGGGAGAGAGACAAGGAUACAAGUCACUAUGGAGCAGUGGGCUCUAGUGGAGACACAUCAAUGGGGCAAUGGGAAGACAAGUAAAAUUCUUGCUGGAAAUCCAGGAAGGCUUCAUGGAGGAGCUGACAUGUGAAUGUAGAUGUGAAGGUAGCCAUUAGGUCUUGAUAACCAACUGAAUCUCACAUCAGGCUUAGCUAAUGAGAUUGCCCAUUCAUAAUUUGGAUAGACACCAUCUCCACUGAGGAUGAAUGCAAAAGAGCAAAGUUGGAUCCAGGAGGGCAGUGAGUACUGAUCCCAGGAAGAGGCAUUUGGAAAGAGCCUAACAAGAUGGUGUGCACUUGACCAUAUCUGAGCCGAUCUUUCUCCAUUCACCUUUUUUUAACCCACCUCCUCAUGUCUUCUCUCCAUAACUUACAUUUGUUUCAUAGGGAAGAGUUCACAAACUGUGCUCCUGUGACUGUCCCAUAUCAUAGGCUAUUGCUAAAGUCGAAGGAAUAGGUUAGAUACUCGGUAGCCAGAAACAUUUGGGCCAGCUUUGCCCUGUUUUCUCUGCCUACAUAGUCAAUAAGCAACUACCACAUAUAGUGAGUGUGAAGAAUAAAAAUGGAGGCUUGAGCGCUUUCCGAAUGUAAAAUUCUCACUCUGCUCAGGGCCUGUCUGUCUGCCUUUUGGUUUUGCUUCCUUUCUCUUCCUAUCGCCUUGUCUCUCGCCUCUGUCCCCCUGGCUUCUUGGGACUGCGUGAAGCUUUCUACUAGCAGGCGUGCCUCCUAGCUCUGCUGGUCCAAUCUGAAUGACGGGCAUCAUCCAGCCUAGUGGUCCUCGCACAUCGGGAUUCGUCAGAUUCAUCUGGGAUCUUUUUUAAAGUAGAUGCUUAUGGCUUUAUCUCAAGGGCUUUGGAUUCAAAUAUUUGGGGGUGGGACCCAGGCAUGGUUUUUUAAAAUUAUUUUAUUAUAGUUGCUUUACAGAGGUGGGGUGAAUGGACAGCAUCAAUAUUUUUGAAUGCCUCCCCAAGAGAUUCUAAAGUGCAAUCAAGGCUGAUAAUCACUGACCUAAACUUCCCCCCAUACCUUAAUUUCUUUUUCUGCAAAAUGCCAUCAUUAGCCUGAAAGCUAUUUAAGAAAACUUUCAGCUUCCCAGAUGGGUGGCUCCCUGGGGAAAGGUUUGGUCAGGCUUGGGAGUUUCAGAGGAUGAGAGGGCAAAGGUGGCUGCAGGGAAGAUGAGAAGGGAGGGAGGGGGGAUUCUGACAACUUCUCUGUUCCCUUUUAGGCCUGAUAUUUCCCAUAGCAGAGAGAUUUUUAUAUUUUUAUUUUGCUUUGUUUAGUUUUAUUUUUCUCAUGAGGGCUAACUCACACUUCCUUUGAGGCAAGUGCCUUUCAAGUCAUUUAUUUGGACAUCUGAUAUGACUUAAAUGCUCUCAACUUUUUGCUUUAUUGUUUGUUUUGUUUUAAUAUGGGGUCUAGAGCCAAAUAGCUGUUUUGUGAAGUUUCCCCAAUUCCAUCCUAAUUCUGUGCAUGUCAAUGUCUGGCUGGAAUAAGAAUGGAAGAUUCUUGGAGGCACUUUCUCUGGGCAUUUUUAAUAAGAGGCCAGACCCCCCAGUGCUUCUCGGCAUUGCCGGGUCGGCAGUAUAACUCGGUUACUCUACAGCUCUCCUCCCUUCCUGACCUAAGAAUGUGAUUUGAUCACAAAGGGAAACACUUCCCAAGCCAAGGAGUUCAAACAUCUGUGGCCUCCAGGAUCUGCAAGGGUUUCUGUGCCUGACACCAUUCUCUAGAGCGCCACACAUCAGCACAGCUUAACCAGUUUGACUUGUCCAUGGACUUGAAGGUGUGGUUGGUAGAGACUCUGAGUAACUGAUCCUCCUGGGGCUCUGCUGGUCUCAAGAAGCAACCUACCUGUUGAUCAGACAUUCAACUCUUCUUGACUCAAAGCAGAAAUGCUAAGAAAUCAAGCUCAUCCAUCAGAGAAAGGCUUUUGUGAACUCAGACCCACUUAUCAAAAAGGCUGUCUUCCGUGUCCUUCUCCCUUGUCAAUAUACGGUACUGAUGAGAAAUGGUCACCUUACGUUUUCCUUUGCUCCACAGUGUCUCAUCUUGAAUGCUCUCCUUUCUCGGGGACGGGAUGGUCACCUUCCUUUGCCUUCUUGGACCAGACCAUUUGGGUUCUUUGUGACAUCAGCUCACUAAAUCUGAGCUUUCCCAGUCACCAUGCCUCAUCAUCUGCGAUGCGUCAGGCUGGACCCCUAAUUUCUUUGCAGGGGGCGGUAGAGUUGGAUGACAGAACUCCAACCACGACUUCCCCUUUUUAGUUGUACGGCCCCCAAAUGAUUCGUCAAAUGCUCCAACUUUACAUUGAUUUGGUAAAUCUAAAGGGCCUCUGUGAAGCCCAUGACCCAGAGUGCCUACCCAUAUGUUUUAUCAACUUCAAAAUCCUAUACAUGUUUAAGGUGUGGUCCUUAUCUUUUUCCAGAGAAACUAAGCAAUCUCUUAUGAGGGAUUUUCACAAUUUCUGGUAAGAACUUCUUUCAGUGGGUAGAAAGUAUGUGUUAAGGGCCAAAUUGCAUCCCACUAAAAUUUGGGAUAGAUUUGAUCCCUGGCCUGGGGAACUUCCGCAUGCUGCAGGUGUGGCCAAAAGGAGAGAGAGACAGAGCAAAGACAGGGGGAGACCACAGCCCAUCCUCAAGCCAAGAAAAUGCCCGAGGCCACCAAAGCUGGGAGGAUGCCUGGAAUACAGGCUCCCAAUCAGCCCUCAGAAAAAGCCAACCUCACCGACACUCUGAUCUCGGCCUCCAGAACUGCAAGACAGUAAAUUUCUGUUGUUUAAGCUGCUCCGUUUGUGGUACUUUGUUAUAGCGGCCCCAGGAAGCUAAUACCUUAUUAUUUCCGGAAGACUUGAAGUGCCCUGCCGCUGAAGUUCUAAAGGAAAAUCUUUUCAGUCUCCAGCAGAGGUGGUUCUCAAGCCAAAUAAGAACCAGAGGUCAUGAUCUGAAACUUGCUGCCUUUGGGUCAAUGUUUCUGGGGUUUAGAUGGCUUGAGAUAUUUAGCUAAACACAGGUGGACCCAUUUCACCUGUAAGGAAGGCUGAUGUAUGAGUGCCUGCUCUCCACGAACCCACACCCCUCCAGCCAGACUGCCUCUUGCCAGGCUUGGAUCCUUGAAUGCUUGCAACUGGAAAUGAAAGUGCUUAUAUAUGGUUUUAAGGUUUUCAAGUCAAGUUCCACUGCCUUUGAAUGCUGAACCCAUUGCGAAGGAUUACUGUCAAGUGCAAAAUAAUGAUUCAUAAAAUGUCCCCGUGCCCUUGAAGUCUGAUUUACAGCCCGUCCGUGACUCUUUGUGGCAAUCAAGACACCUGGUAGUGCAGGGGCAUCAACCCACCAUGCCCCCAUUAGCGUCUCCUGGAAGCGUUUUCCAAAUACUGAUGCUUGGGUGGUACUUCCCCCCAGAGAUGUUCUUUCCCUUUUGUCUGGAGGGAACGUCAGUGUUUGAAUUUUAAAGCUCCCAGCUGAGGUGGAGAAACAUGGGGACAGCAGAGGGCCUGGAGUCGGCCGCAAGUGAGCUUACACCGCUGCUCAAACAUUUCAUGGGUGCGCUACUUGGAGCUCGAGUUCAUGUCCUCAUUUGUAAAACACGUGCAGUAAUAAUAAUACGUAUGUCAUCAUGGUUAUUUCUGUGAGCAUUAAAAGAGAUCAUGCAUGUAAAAUGUUUGUACCAUAAUGUCAUUGGGAAUAAAAGUGUUCUUUGCACGUGGACCUGCUGUAAAGCACAGGGAACUAUAUUCGGUAUCUUGUAAUAAUCCGUAAUGGAAGAGAAUCUGGAAGGGCAUAUGUAUGUAUAUGUUUAUAUACACAUACCAACAUAUAUAUGAACAUAUAUAUACAUGUGAAUCACUUAAAACCAACGCAACAUUGUCGGAGUUCCCAUCGUGGCGCAGCAGAAACAAAUCCAACUAGGAACCAUGAGCUCACUCAGUGGCAUUGCUGUGAGCAGUGGUGUAGGUCACAGAUGAAGCUCCGAUCUGGUGUGGCUGUGGCUCCGGCGUAGGCCGGCAGCAGUAGCUCAGAUUAGACCCCGAGCCUGGGAACCUCCAGGUGCCAUGAGUGUGGCCCU
rnacentral:lncRNA from 1 species